rnacentral:rRNA from 1 species
CUCCGGUUGAUCCCGCCGGACCCGACUGCUAUCAGAGUGGGACUAAGCCAUGCGAGUCAACAUAGCAAUAUGUGGCAUACGGCUCAGUAACACGUAGUCAACAUGCCCAGGGGACGUGGAUAACCUCGGGAAACUGAGGAUAAACCGCGAUAGGUCAUCACUUCUGGAAUGGGUAAUGACUUAAAUCUAUAUGGCCCCUGGAUUGGACUGCGGCCGAUCAGGCUGUUGGUGAGGUAAUGGCCCACCAAACCUGUAACCGGUACGGGCUCUGAGAGGAGGAGCCCGGAGAUGGGCACUGAGACAAGGGCCCAGGCCCUAUGGGGCGCAGCAGGCGCGAAACCUCUGCAAUAGGCGAAAGCUUGACAGGGUUACUCUGAGUGAUUUCCGUUAAGGAGAUCUUUUGGCACCUCUAAAAAUGGUGCAGAAUAAGGGGCGGGCAAGUCUGGUGUCAGCCGCCGCGGUAAUACCAGCACCCCGAGUGGUCGGGACGUUUAUUGGGCCUAAAGCAUCCGUAGCCGGUUCUACAAGUCUUCCGUUAAAUCCACCUGCUUAACAGAUGGGCUGCGGAAGAUACUAUAGAGCUAGGAGGCGGGAGAGGCAAGCGGUACUCGAUGGGUAGGGGUAAAAUCCGUUGAUCCAUUGAAGACCACCAGUGGCGAAGGCGGCUUGCCAGAACGCGCUCGACGGUGAGGGAUGAAAGCUGGGGGAGCAAACCGGAUUAGAUACCCGGGUAGUCCCAGCUGUAAACGAUGCAGACUCGGUGAUGAGUUGGCUUAUUGCUAACUCAGUGCCGCAGGGAAGCCGUUAAGUUUGCCGCCUGGGGAGUACGGUCGCAAGACUGAAACUUAAAGGAAUUGGCGGGGGAGCA